GUACUCUGGUUUCUCUUCACCUCGCAUAAAUCUUUCGCCUUUUACUAAAGAUUUCCGUGGGGAGGAACAACUCAAUGAGUCUUAAGACUUAUUUUUUAAACCCUACUUUGUAGGGU
rnacentral:snRNA from 1 species